GAGUCUUAAUUGGGCGUUAAGUUGCAGGGUAUAGACCCGAAACCCGGUGAUCUAGCCAUGGGCAGGUUGAAGGUUGGGUAACACUAACUGGAGGACCGAACCGACUAAUGUUGAAAAAUUAGCGGAUGACCUGUGGCUGGGGGUGAAAGGCCAAUCAAACCGGGAGAUAGCUGGUUCUCCCCGAAAGCUAUUUAGGUAGCGCCUCGUGAAUUCAUCUCCGGGGGUAGAGCACUGUUUCGGCUAGGGGGCCAUCCCGGCUUACCAACCCGAUGCAAACUGCGAAUACCGGAGAAUGUUAUCACGGGAGACACACGGCGGGUGCUAACGUCCGUCGUGAAGAGGGAAACAACCCAGACCGCCAGCUAAGGUCCCAAAGUCAUGGUUAAGUGGGAAACGAUGUGGGAAGGCCCAGACAGCCAGGAUGUUGGCUUAGAAGCAGCCAUCAUUUAAAGAAAGCGUAAUAGCUCACUGGUCGAGUCGGCCUGCGCGGAAGAUGUAACGGGGCUAAACCAUGCACCGAAGCUGCGGCAGCGACGCUGAUGCGUUGUUGGGUAGGGGAGCGUUCUGUAAGCCUGUGAAGGUGGCCUGUGAGGGUUGCUGGAGGUAUCAGAAGUGCGAAUGCUGACAUAAGUAACGAUAAAGCGGGUGAAAAGCCCGCUCGCCGGAAGACCAAGGGUUCCUGUCCAACGUUAAUCGGGGCAGGGUGAGUCGACCCCUAAGGCGAGGCCGAAAGGCGUAGUCGAUGGGAAACGGGUUAAUAUUCCCGUACUUGGUGUUACUGCGAAGGGGGGACGGAGAAGGCUAUGUUGGCCGGGCGACGGUU
rnacentral:rRNA from 1 species